UACAGAGGUCUCAAGCGUUGUUCGGAUUCAUUGGGCGUAAAGGGUGCGUAGGUGGCACCGUAAGUCAGGUGUGAAAUUUCGGAGCUUAACUCCGAAACUGCAUUUGAUACUGCGGUGCUUGAGGACUGGAGAGGAGACUGGAAUUUACGGUGUAGCAGUGAAAUGCGUAGAGAUCGUAAGGAAGACCAGUGGCGAAGGCGGGUCUCUGGACAGUUCCUGACACUGAGGCACGAAGGCCAGGGGAGCAAACGGG
rnacentral:rRNA from 1 species